rnacentral:rRNA from 1 species
AUUGAACGCUGGCGGCAUGCUUUACACAUGCAAGUCGAACGGCAGCACGGGGGCAACCCUGUGGCGAGUGGCGAACGGGUGAGUAAUGCAUCGGAACGUAUCUUCAAGUGGGGGAUAACGCAUCGAAAGAUGCGCUAAUACCGCAUAAUCUCUGAGGAGAAAAGCAGGGGGAUCGCAAGACCUUGCGCUUCUGGAGCGGCCGAUGUCNGAUUAGCUAGUUGGUGGGUAAAGGCUUACCAAGGCUUCGAUCAGUAGCUGGUCUGAGAGGACGACCAGCCACACUGGGACUGAGACACGGCCCAGACUCCUACGGGAGGCAGCAGUGGGGAAUUUUGGACAAUGGGGAAACCCUGAUCCAGCCAUGCCGCGUGAGUGA